rnacentral:rRNA from 1 species
CAGUAGCCGCGGGAAUACGAAGGGGGCUAGCGUUGCUCGGAAUCACUGGGCGUAAAGGGUGCGUAGGCGGGUCUUUAAGUCAGGGGUGAAAUCCUGGAGCUCAACUCCAGAACUGCCUUUGAUACUGAAGAUCUUGAGUUCGGGAGAGGUGAGUGGAACUGCGAGUGUAGAGGUGAAAUUCGUAGAUAUUCGCAAGAACACCAGUGGCGAAGGCGGCUCACUGGCCCGAUACUGACGCUGAGGCACGAAAGCGUGGGGAGCAAACAGGAUUAGAUACCCCGGUAGUCCCUGUCUCUUAUAC